AUGAAGAGUUUGAUCCUGGCUCAGGAUGAACGCUAGCGGCAGGCCUAAUACAUGCAAGUCGAGGGGCAGCACGGUUUUCGGACUGGUGGCGACCGGCGCACGGGUGCGUAACGCGUAUGCAAUCUACCCUAUUCUGGAGAAUAGCCCUUAGAAAUGAGGAUUAAUACUCCAUAGUAUCACAAUUUCGCAUGUUAUUGUGAUUAAAGCUUCGGCGGAAUAGGAUGAGCAUGCGUCCCAUUAGAUAGUUGGUAAGGUAACGGCUUACCAAGUCUGCGAUGGGUAGGGGGCCUGAGAGGGUUAUCCCCCACACUGGUACUGAGACACGGACCAGACUCCUACGGGAGGCAGCAGUGAGGAAUAUUGGACAAUGGGCGGGAGACUGAUCCAGCCAUGCCGCGUGCAGGAUGACUGCCCUAUGGGUUGUAAACUGCUUUUAUACGGGAAGAAACGCACCUACGUGUAGGUGUCUGACGGUACCGUAAGAAUAAGGACCGGCUAACUCCGUGCCAGCAGCCGCGGUAAUAC
rnacentral:rRNA from 13 species